AUUGAACGCUGGCGGAAUGCUUUACACAUGCAAGUCGAACGGCAGCACGGACUUCGGUCUGGUGGCGAGUGGCGAACGGGUGAGUAAUACAUCGGAACGUGCCCAGUCGUGGGGGAUAACGUAGCGAAAGCUACGCUAAUACCGCAUACGAUCUAAGGAUGAAAGCGGGGGAUCGCAAGACCUCGCGCGAUUGGAGCGGCCGAUGGCAGAUUAGGUAUUUGGUAGGGGAAAGGACUACCAAGCCGACGAUCUGUAGCUGGUCUGAGAGGAUGGUCAGCCACACUGGGACUGAGACACGGCCCAGACUCCUACGGGAGGCAGCAGUGGGAAAUUUUGGACAAUGGGCGCAAGCCUGAUCCAGCCAUUCCGCGUGCAGGAUGAAGGCCUUCGGGUUGUAAACUGCUUUUGUACAGAACGAAAAGGCUCUGGUUAAUACCCGGGGCUCAUGACGGUACUGUAAGAAUAAGCACCGGCUAACUACGUGCCAGCAGCCGCCGUAA
rnacentral:rRNA from 1 species